CUGAUCUGAUUAGAUCUGAAAUUAGCAAAAAUAAGGUCAACUAAGCAUAGCCUAAAUCAGAUGGAAAGAGCUGUUUUACUAAACCGAGCAAAUAACAAUAUUAAAUACGAGGGAAUGAAUUAAUUAAUAAAAAACUAAAAUUAUGGAUCACUAUAAGAAAAAAAGCCAAAGGCUAUAGUUCAAGAGAUGCAAUUAUCUGAUCACUGUUCCCUCAAAAAAAAAUUGCAAUUAUCUGAAAAACGCAGCCCUUAGUUACAAAGGAGUGCGAUUAACCCAAAAACCGUAGCCCUUCAUUACAAAGUGCUGUCGUUAGCCCAAAAAUUACAACCCUUCCAUACGAAGGGUUGCGGUUUUUAAACAACAGCAACCCUUCACUUUCUCAUCUCCCCCUUAAAGCUCAUUCCCGCCGCACUCACACCACACACCACACCCUAAAACUUCCCUAGCUGAAUCCCCGCCUCUCUCACUCACGCCCCUGCCCCUCUCUCUCCGACCUCGGCUGUGGAUCGCCACCUCGUUUCGUUUUCGUUUUCGUCACUCUUCUCCUCCUUUCGUUUUCGUCGCUCGACCACCAGUUUUGCAGUGGUUGUAUGCCGCUUCGUCGCUGGUGUUUCCUCCUUCCCUCAAUCUUCUCCGCCGCCGUUCAUGGAUGGGUCCGCUCUGAGGUAACUGCGCUUUCUUUCGGAGAAAUGUUAGUUAAUUGAAGUUGUUUGAGGUAGAUUUAUUGGUUGUACUUGUGAUUUUAAGCUUGGUUAAGUGUUUGAAGUAGUUGAAAUGCGAAUUGUUCAUACUUUUUUAUUUGAGUUUGGGUAUUUUUUUUGUUUUUUUUAUUUUUAUUUUGUUGAUGUUUGGAUGAGGCUUUGGUCAUUUUGGCAUGUGAGAACUGAGACGUCGUUUAUAGUUGAAGGUUGUGAAAUGUUCUUGGUGGAAUUCAGUAAUUGAAGUUGAUUAAACUAGAUUUAGUGGUUGUGCUGUGAUUUUAAGUAGUUGAAAUGAGAAAUGUUGGGAUUCGAGCGAUUUAUUGUGGUUGUGCUGUGCUGCAUAUCAUUUACAUAGAGGACAUGGAACUGGGAUCAAUAUUUCGUUGGUUCAUAUGGAGGUUAGUCCUAUAUUGUCAAUAUUUAUACCUUCAUCAACCACUAAGACAUUAUUGAUCCUUCAGAUUUCUAUAAUUGGAACAGAGUGAAAAUUCGGUUGUGUGAUGGUGCCUCAUUCACAGGAAACGUGGAAGCUGUAAAUCCUAUUACUAAGCUUCAUUUUCGCGGAGCUAAAAUUUGGCAUGCUAGUAUUGAGGAUCUAUUGUUCAAGGGAAUGAGAAAUCCUGAGAAUGUAUGAUGAUUAAGUUCAGGUCUUUUUUUCCUUUGCUUCUUUUGUGUUACACGUGAUCGUUUGGUGAUUUUCCGGCGAAAUUUUGAGACCCGAGAAAUAAUGAGUAACAUCAACAUCUUCAUAAUUCUCCUUGUUGUUGAUGUUAGGAUUAUGAUGCCAUUCAUUAAUGAUUAUUGUAUAUAAUACUACUAUGUAGUAAUUGUACAAGUAAAGUGAAGAGACACAUAAACAAGUUCAACUCAAACGUCGGAAAAUUAUCACAAGAGAAAUCUCAUUGUAAUAAACAAGUUCAACUCAAACGUCGGAAAAUUAUCACAAGAGAAAUCUCAUUGUAAUAAACAAGUUCAACUCAAACGUCGGAAAAUUAUCACAAGAGAAAUCUCAUUGUAAUAUUCUAUCUAGUAUAAUUACUACAUAGUAGUAUUACAUACACUCUGUCUUGAUGAUAAUUGUAUAUAAUACUACUAUGUAGUAAUUGUACAAGAUAGAGUGUUGCAAUGAGAUUUUUUCUUCUGAUGAGGAACACAAUGUAGUACUCCAUCCGUUUCCUAAAGAUCUUCCCACUUACUGUUCCUACAGGUACCAAGGAAAAUCAAGUUGUGUGGGGCAUGGUGUGAGUAAAGUAGGAGAGAGAAAGGGGUUAAGAUAAAUAAACAAAUAAAAAGGGGUUAAAGUAGGAGAGAGAAAGGGAGUAAAAUUGAAUUAAUAAUGUAAUGGUGGACCAUAUGAUAGUGACAUGAGAGGGUAAAUAGAGAAAUUUGUUUUGCCAAAUAAGGAAUAAAGCAAAAGAGGAAAGAUAUUUUGGAAACACCCUUAAACGGAAAGAGGGAAAAUCUUUAGGAAACGGAGGGAGUACUAGACUAGAAAUAACAAACUCAUAUGAAGUGAUGACUUUUUCCGACGUUUGAGUUGAACUUGUUUAUGUGUCUCUUUACUUGUACAAUUACUAUAUAGUAUUAUCAUAUACAAUGAUCAUCAAUGAAUGAUAUCAUAAUUUUAACAUCAACAACAAGGCAAAUGAUGAAGAUGUUGAUGUUAUUCUUUCUUUCUUAGGUCUCAAAGUUUCGCCGGAAAAUCCCCAAAUUGUCAGUUUUCGCCAUCGCCUCCAAAUUAGUCGGCAACGUAAUACUGCGCUAAGAAAUAGAAAAUCCUUAUUCCUUCCAACUAGCAUUGGUGGAGCGUUAGUCUGGAUUGGUGGACCUAGUAGAUAAAUCUCAGUUGCGGUUCUAUCUCCGGAUCUCGAAGAGCUUUGUGGAAAUGACGUUUCAAAGGGUUUUGGCUAAAACACGCUUAAUUGAGGAUGAGUAAACACCUGAGAAGAUCUCCUAGAAAAAUCAACAAUGCGAGUCUCCUCCCUAUUUUGAUUCCGAAUUUGCAAGCUGCCCUUUGCUUGCUUUUCCAACAGAUCCCACAAAUUAUAUAGUGCAAGCUCCUUUCUCUAAGCAAGAGGCUUACUUUUUUGGGGAUUGAAAAGCAAGUAUGAGGAGCUUAAUUUUUUUCAAGAAUCAGCCAUGCCUGACGAAGAACACCAGUUCAAAUCGAAGGCUCAUGUCAAAGCCUCAAAGACUUUCCCACAUCAUGUAGGUACUAUUCACAAGAGUGGGUGCAUUUUCAUCAAGAAUCACCCUUUCAACGUACAACUUUCUUCUCUUAGGGAUUCGAUUCAUGUGUAAUAGAUUAGGCUUUCUAUUCAGAAUUUUACUACGGUGGAGUUUUUUUAGGGAUUUGGUGACAUCAUUUUGGAUUCAACGAUGUGAUAUGGUCAUAUAUAUUUGAUAGGAAAAAGGAAUUGCGAAUGGCUAUUCUUGAUAUUGGGUUCAAAAGGGACAUCUCAAAAUUUCAUAUGUUAUAUGUUACUUGGGGUGGUUUUCUUUUGUUCAUUUGUUUAGAAACUUUGUCACCUAAUCUUAUUUGUGCUAAUAGAAGCAUCGUUUUGUGAUAUAUUGUAUCUCACUUGAUUGAGAGAAUAUGAAUUCGCACAUUCACAUAUUCGAUGGACAAUAACUUGAAAUUA